AUUGAACGCUGGCGGCAUGCCUUACACAUGCAAGUCGAACGGCAGCACGGGAGCAAUCCUGGUGGCGAGUGGCGAACGGGUGAGUAAUAUAUCGGAACGUGCCCAGUCGUGGGGAUAACGUAGCGAAAGCUACGCUAAUACCGCAUACGAUCUAUGGAUGAAAGCGGGGGAUCGCAAGACCUCGCGCGAUUGGAGCGGCCGAUAUCAGAUUAGGUAGUUGGUGAGGUAAAGGCUCACCAAGCCGACGAUCUGUAGCUGGUCUGAGAGGACGACCAGCCACACUGGGACUGAGACACGGCCCAGACUCCUACGGAGGCAGCAGUGGGGAAUUUUGGACAAUGGCGCAAGCCUGAUCCAGCAAUGCCGCGUGCAGGAUGAAGGCC
rnacentral:rRNA from 1 species